CGGGUGCCUCACCUGCCUGGCCCUGGCGGGGAGGGAAGACCCGCAGCCCCUGCGCUCAAAACGGGGAAAGGGCACCUCACCUGAACCCAGAACACCUGAAGACAACCAACCCGGCUCGGGUGCAGGAGUGUGAAGAAGUCGUGCUUAGCGAUGGGGAAUUACAGCAGCGAUGCCGCCUUCCUUUGCUACCCCAGUAAAGGGGCACCAGGAGGCGCGACCUGCGCGAAAUGACUCUCUUCUCCCCCAGCUCAAAACCUCAGGGUAACAAUGUUCCAGGCCCUCAGCAGCCCUGUGCAAUGAAAGACUGACACCUCUGCCAAGAAAGAAAGCCUCUCACUAAAGCUCCCAGGAUUGGAGAGUGUUCUUAGGAGAACCAGCCUCUGCCAGGAGACAAGAAUGGUUUAUUUUGAUGGCAACAUCCGCACACGUGUGUCCCUGCAUAUCCGGGGCCCUGGCUAUGUGUCAGUUUCUUGCUCAGAGAAGCUGUCAUUGGGAUUCUGUGGGGGAAAAUGUUCCAAAAAGAAUCAAUCAAUGCUGCCAGCAACAAGUUCAAUACCACUGCACUGAGUCCCCCUGCUCUGUAUCAGUGCAUGAAUGAAUUAUUGGUGCUCAUGUAAU